rnacentral:misc_RNA from 1 species
GAUGAAGAACGCAGUGAAAUGCGAUAAGUAGUGUGAAUUGCAGAAUUCAGUGAAUCAUCGAAUCUUUGAACGCACAUUGCGCCCCUUGGUAUUCCAUGGGGCAUGCCUGUUCGAGCGUCAUUUGUACCUUCAAGCUCUGCUUGGUGUUGGGUGUUUGUCUCGCCUCUGCGUGUAGACUCGCCUCAAAACAAUUGGCAGCCGGCGUAUUGAUUUCGGAGCGCAGUACAUCUCGCGCUUUGCACUCAUAACGACGACGUCCAAAAGUACAUUUUUACACUCUUGACCUCGGAUCAGGUAGGGAUACCCGCUGAACUUAAGCAUAUCAAAAGCGGAGGA